UACGUAGGGUGCGAGCGUUGUCCGGAAUUACUGGGCGUAAAGAGCUCGUAGGUGGUUUGUCGCGUUGUUCGUGAAAACCGGGGGCUUACCUUCGGCGUGCGGGCGAUACGGGCAGACUGGAGUACUGCAGGGGAGACUGGAAUUCCUGGUGUAGCGGUGGAAUGCGCAGAUAUCAGGAGGAACACCGGUGGCGAAGGCGGGUCUCUGGGCCGAUACUGACGCUGAGGAGCGAAAGCGUGGGGAGCGAACAGG
rnacentral:rRNA from 1 species